CCAGACUCCUACGGGAGGCAGCAGUGAGGAAUAUUGGUCAAUGGCCGAGAGUCUGAACCAGCCAAGUAGCGUGAAGGAUGACUGCCCUAUGGGUUGUAAACUUCUUUUAUAAAGGAAUAAAACGAGGCACGUGUGCCUUUUUGCAUGUACUUUAUGAAUAAGGAUCGGCUAACUCCGUGCCAGCAGCCGCGGUAAUACGGAGGAUCCGAGCGUUAUCCAGAUUUAUUGGGUUUAAAGGGAGCGUAGAUGGGUUGUUAAGUCAGUUGUGAAAGGUUGCGGCUCAACCGUAAAAUUGCAAUUGAUACUGGCAGUCUUGAGUACAGUUGAGGUAGGCGGAAUUCGUGGUGUAGCGGUGAAAUGCUUAGAUAUCACGAAGAACCCCGAGUGCGAAGGCAGCGCACCGGCGCCCUACUGACGCUCAGGCACGAAAGCGUGGGUAUCGAACAGGAUUAGAUACCCCAGUA
rnacentral:rRNA from 1 species